rnacentral:rRNA from 1 species
GACGAACGCUGGCGGCGUGCUUAACACAUGCAAGUCGAACGGAAAGGCCCUGCUUUUGUGGGGUGCUCGAGUGGCGAACGGGUGAGUAACACGUGAGUAACCUGCCCUUGACUUUGGGAUAACUUCAGGAAGCUGGGGCUAAUACCGGAUAGGAGCUCCUGCUGCAUGGUGGGGGUUGGAAAGUUUCGGCGGGUGGGGAUGGACUCGCGGCUGAUCGGCUUGUUGGUGGGGUAGUGGCUUACCAAGGCUUUGACGGGUAGCCGGCAGGAGAGGGUGACCGGCCACCUUGGGACUGAGAUACGGCCCAGACUCCUACGGGAGGCAGCAGUGGGGAAUAUUGCACAAUGGGCGGAAGCCUGAUGCAGCAACGCCGCGUGCGGGAUGACGGCCUUCGGGUUGUAAAACGCUUUCGCCUGUGACGAAGCGUGAGUGACGGUAAUGGGUAAAGAAGCACCGGCUAACUACGUG